rnacentral:rRNA from 1 species
UGGGUAUUCUUGGACAAUGGGCGAAAGCCUGAUCCAGCCAUGCCGCGUGUGUGAAGAAGUUCUUCGGAUUGUCAAGCACUUUAAGUUGGGAGGAAGGGCAGUAAGCGAAUACCUUGCUGUUUUGACGUUACCGACAGAAUAAGCACCGGCUAACUCUGUGCCAGCAGCCGCGGUAAUACAGAGGGUGCAAGCGUUAAUCGGAAUUACUGGGCGUAAAGCGCGCGUAGGUGGUUCGUUAAGUUGAAUGUGAAAGACCCGGGCUCAACCUGGGAACUGCAUCCAAAACUGGCGGGCUAGAGUAGGGCAGAGGGUGGUGGAAUUACCUGUGUAGCGGUGAAAUGCGUAGAUAUAGGAAGGAACACCAGUGGCGAAGGCGACCACCUGGGCUCAUACUGACACUGAGGUGCGAAAGCGUGGGGAGCAAACAGG